ACUCCAUUACCAGGCAUAUGCAACAUUCAUGCACAUUGAUCUGUAGGCAAAUAUUUCCUUGAAUUCGGACCAUCAGACAUUUCUCGUUUCAGAUAAAUUUAUGCCAAAAAUCAGACGAAUUUAUGCCUGAUAUAUAUCGCAUAAAAGUAAAAUAAACAGAAUUUUAUAUUCAGAGUUCCAAUUUUCACAUAUGUUAAUUAACUUGUCUGAUCAGGAACCUAUUACAAAAUUAUCAAAAUUCUUCUAAUGCAUGGAAGUCGUUGAUCUAUAGGUCGACUUCAAGAGCUCCAUUCCACUCAUACACGGCUACUUUCUAUUAACAAAACAGGGAUGGUCUGGGGCAUCUUUUGCCGGCGCUAGGUAAAACCGGCCGCUGGAAAGAAUUGAUGUAAAUGCUUUUAAAAAAUUAUCCCAGCGGCCGACUCUCUCUCUCUCUCUCUCUGUCUGCCUCUCCCUCGCCACUCGAUCUCCCUCCCUCCCUCUCUCUCUCUCUCAGCUAGUUGCAAUAUUCCUUCCAUUGAUACGGGUACGCUAUUGGAUAUUCCAUUUUCGCACAAAGCCUAGGGCUUCAUUUCUCUUCAUCUCCUUCCCCAUUCACUACAUUUUGAUGAAGCCACCAUCUGUGGCUGGGAUUCCUAAAACCCAAAUGCAAGGACUGAUUUGAAUGUGUGCAGAUCUGUUCUCUGGAUUUUGCAGCGAUUUUGGGUUUUCGUUGUUACUGGAUUAAAUUGGCAGUGCAGUGUGAGUGACGAGUGGAUUGCUAUUGGAGAUUCUCUAAUUAUAACAGUCCUUGGUCAGGUGCUUGGAGCAUGGGGAUUGGGCUGCGAAAUUUUGAUGGAUGGGAUGGAGGUUACACAAUUCACAUGCUUCCAGCAGGUAUCUUAAAUCUUUUUAUAAAUUUUAUGUGUUUUGUGGGAGAUCUGAGCUGUGAAUCAGAUAGGAUCCAUUUGUGAAGAUCACCUGGCACAAAAGUUAGGCAUCUUAUUGGAAGCCCAAUCAUUAAACAACGAAGCCCUUGAGGCCUUCUCAAUCAAACCAGACCACGUUCCUAGCAUGGGUUCAACAGUGGUGAUACUAAGGAAAUUUGGAGGGGAGUUCAGUGCCGAUUGCCAGAAGCUUUGUAAUGAACGCUCUAUGAUUAGAACCCAUGAAUCACAAUGCGUGGUUGGAACGUGGGUAUGUGUCCAAGAUGGGAGGCUCGCUACGCUGAUUGCUUCCAAGCGGCAUUCCAGCUCAAACAAUCAUCACCUGUACAGGAUUUUGUGUGAACUCUCUUGCCAAUUCAUUGCAUUGGUGAGAACUUGAGUUCUUCAUGAGUUUGAUUCUCAUGCAAUAACUCAUAAAAUCCAUGCAACUGUAGAGCCGCUAAACCGAAGGCAAAGGGCUACAAGAUAUGUAUCUGAUCGCUGCAUCAUUUUUCGCAGGGAGCGGGCCGCACAGAUUUCCCAUAUUAAAUUUAGGAUGUAUAUAAGUUGUUUGUGUUACUGAGGCCAUCUGGCUGAAAUGCAACAGGGGAGACUUGGGUUGGAAUGGAACUGAAUCUUGGGUUUGGUGGUUUUGUCCAACUUCUUUUAAGUAUAGCAUAAGGCCCCAAUCAGAGCCGUUUAUAAUGUGGGUCCCUCAGUGGGUUGGCAGGAUCGCCCAAUUGGUGAAAAUUUUGUACCUGAGUAAUCCAAGAUGGGCCACAAUGGAGGAUGAAUGGUUUGGAUCA